rnacentral:lncRNA from 10 species
UGAAUAUUCAUAAACAUUAGAAUUUAGUCAAGAGGGUCUAUUAUCCAUUAUCCCCUUAAAUUGUUGCAGAGGAAUUAGCCAACAAAUUUCAAUAUGAAAACAUGGUAGAUGGAAAUGUUCAAAAUUAGAUAAAACAUCCGUUAUUGUUUGAAGGUAUAUUCAUUUGUUUUUGAACUGCUAGAAAGGAAUACCUGAAACUGGGUAAUUUAUAAAGAAAAUAAGUUUAAUUGGCUCACGGUUCUGCAGGCCGAAUAGGAAGCAUGGUGCUUGCAUGUGCUCCUGAUGGGGCUUCAAGAAGAUAACAAUCAUGGAGGAAGGCAAAGGGGGACCAGCAGGAUCACACAGCGACGGCAGAAGCAAGAGAGAGGGAGGAGGCGCUGCACUCUUACACAUCCAGAUAUUGCGUGAACUCAGAAUGCAAACUCACUCUAGGAGGCCAUCAAGACAUUCAUGAGGGAUUUGACACCAUCAGCCAAACAACUAUCGCUAGGCCUCACCAUCAACACUAGAGAUGACAUUUCAACGUGAGAUUUGGAGGGGAUGAAUAUCCGAACCCUAUCGGCAGACUCAGAGUUGAAAGGGGCUUGCCUUUUCUCAGAUGAGACUUUGGAUUCUGGACUUUUUGAGUUAAUGCUGGAAUGAGAUAAGGCUUUGGAGGACUGCUGGGAAGGCAUGACUGUAUUUUGCAAUGUGAGAAGUCCAUGAGAUAUGGGGAGGGCCAGGGACAGAAUGAUAUGGUUUCCAUCUGUGUCGCCACCCCAAUUUAAUGUUCAUUUGUAGUCCCCAGUGUUGAAUAUGGGUCCUGCUGGGAGAAAAUUUGAUCAUGGGGGUGGGGUUCUCAUCAAUGGUUUAACACCAUUCUUGAUACUUUAUAAUGAUAAAUUUCUCAUGAGAUCUGGUUAUUUAAAGGUGUGUAGCAUCUCCACGCUCUCUCUCUCUUCCUCCUGCUCCAGCCAUGUGAAGUGCUGGCUCACCCUUUGCCUUCCGCCAUGAUUGUAAGCUUCCUGAGGCUUCCCCAGAAGCAGAAGCCACUAUGCUUCUUGUAAAGCCUGCAGAACCGUGAGCCAAUUAAAACCCGUUUCUUUAUAACUUACC